rnacentral:rRNA from 1 species
GACGAACGCUGGCGGCGUGGAUUAGACAUGCAAGUCGAACGGUAUCAUCCUUUCGGGGGUGAGAGAGUGGCGAACUGGUGAGUAACACGUAGGUUAUCUACCCUCAAGACGGGGACAACCCAGGGAAACUUGGGCUAAUACCGGAUGUGAGCAACUUUUAGUUGUUUGAAAGGUGGCGUAAGCUGUCGCUUGGGGAUGGAGCCUGCGUCCUAUUAGUUAGUUGGUGAGGUAACGGCUCACCCUAGGCAAUGAUAGGUAGGCGGCCUUAACGGGUGGUCGCCCACACUGGGAUUGAGAUACGGCCCAGACUCCUACGGGAGGCAGCAGUCGAGAAUAGUCUACAAUGGUCGGAAGACUGAUAGUGCGACGCCGCGUGAACGAUGAAUCCCUUCGGGGUGUAAAGUUCUUUUAUAUGUGAGCAGUGCUUCUUAUAUUAACAGUAUGGGGAGAGAGAUAUUAGCAUAUGAAUAAGCAACGGCUAACUCCGUGCCAGCAGCCGCGGUAAU